ACAGGCUUAACACAUGCAAGUCGAGGGGCAGCAUUUUAGUUUGCUUGCAAACUGAAGAUGGCGACCGGCGCACGGGUGAGUAACACGUAUCCAACCUGCCGAUAACUCCGGAAUAGCCUUUCGAAAGAAAGAUUAAUACCGGAUAGCAUACGAAUAUCGCAUGAUAUUUUUAUUAAAGAAUUUCGGUUAUCGAUGGGGAUGCGUUCCAUUAGUUUGUUGGCGGGGUAACGGCCCACCAAGACUACGAUGGAUAGGGGUUCUGAGAGGAAGGUCCCCCACAUUGGAACUGAGACACGGUCCAAACUCCUACGGGAGGCAGCAGUGAGGAAUAUUGGUCAAUGGGCGAGAGCCUGAACCAGCCAAGUAGCGUGAAGGAUGAAGGCUCUAUGGGUCGUAAACUUCUUUUAUAUGGGAAUAAAGUUUUCCACGUGUGGAAUUUUGUAUGUACCAUAUGAAUAAGGAUCGGCUAACUCCGUGCCAGCAGCCGCGGUAAUACGGAGGAUCCGAGCGUUAUCCGGAUUUAUUGGGUUUAAAGGGAGCGUAGGUGGAUUGUUAAGUCAGUUGUGAAAGUUUGCGGCUCAACCGUAAAAUUGCAGUUGAAACUGGCAGUCUUGAGUACAGUAGAGGUGGGCGGAAUUCGUGGUGUAGCGGUGAAAUGCUUAGAUAUCACGAAGAACUCCGAUUGCGAAGGCAGCUCACUAGACUGUCACUGACACUGAUGCUCGAAAGUGUGGGUAUCAAACAGGAUUAGAUACCCUGGUAGUCCACACAGUAAACGAUGAAUACUCGCUGUUUGCGAUAUACAGUAAGCGGCCAAGCGAAAGCAUUAAGUAUUCCACCUGGGGAGUACGCCGGCAACGGUGAAACUCAAAGGAAUUGACGGGGGCCCGCACAAGCGGAGGAACAUGUGGUUUAAUUCGAUGAUACGCGAGGAACCUUACCCGGGCUUAAAUUGCAACAGAAUAUAUUGGAAACAGUAUAGCCGUAAGGCUGUUGUGAAGGUGCUGCAUGGUUGUCGUCAGCUCGUGCCGUGAGGUGUCGGCUUAAGUGCCAUAACGAGCGCAACCCUUAUCUUUAGUUACUAACAGGUCAUGCUGAGGACUCUAGAGAGACUGCCGUCGUAAGAUGUGAGGAAGGUGGGGAUGACGUCAAAUCAGCACGGCCCUUACGUCCGGGGCUACACACGUGUUACAAUGGGGGGUACAGAAGGCGGCUACCUGGUGACAGGAUGCUAAUCCCAAAAACCUCUCUCAGUUCGGAUCGAAGUCUGCAACCCGACUUCGUGAAGCUGGAUUCGCUAGUAAUCGCGCAUCAGCCAUGGCGCGGUGAAUACGUUCCCGGGCCUUGUACACACCGCCCGUCAAGCCAUGAAAGCCGGGGGUACCUGAAGUACGUAACCGCAAGGAGCGUCCUAGGGUAAAACUGGUAAUUGGGGCUAAGA
rnacentral:rRNA from 1 species